CAACCACUGGCCUGGCAUCAUGCACUGGCUUGUGCACAUGGCUGUGCAGAGAACACAUCUCAGAUGUUACUGAAAAUGCAUUACACAUCUUUUUUUUUUUCCUUUCAUUUGCCUUAAUUUUAUUUUUUUUCCCUCAGAAAUAAUUUCCUUCUGAGUACGUGAAUUUACUGCAGCAAUAACUACUGUUUGCUUACAUGUUUGUACAAGAGAAGCACAAGGAGCCCCUAGUGUCUGACAAGGAUGCUGUGGCAAAACAAAUUAAAAAUAGAAAGCCAGAGCACAGAGAGAGGUUAUUACGCCAAGGAUGACAAUGACCCUCUGAGACAAGUCUGAGGUCUUCUGAGGUUUGACUCAAUACUUCAACAAAAAAAAAAUAAUUUCCAUGCAUGAUACCAAAAACUUGUAUUUGGCUGGUUCCUGAAAGUUGUUGGUGUUUUUAGAUUUGGGCAUAUAGAGAAAAGAAACAGUCCUUAACCACAAAGGACUACAGCAUGAUGUGUAAUCAGGAAAUGAGAAGGAUAGUUAAGAUCACAGGUAUUUUGUCCCAGUGUUGGAGCAGGACAGAUGGAUUGUCUCUGUAUCCCCAGAUGUUCUUAAAGAGAGAAGAAACUGACUACAUCUAAGAGUUUUUUUAUUGGAAAGUCAGUACCAGUAUGUUUUUUCACCUCAUAUAAACAAAGAAAAAGAAGGGUUUGUUCUGCUUCACUGGAGCAAAAAAAAUAGCACAAUAGAGUUCCAUUCAGGCACACAAAUAGCAACUGUCCUGUGACUUCUCUAUUUAAAUGGGUAUCCAUGGUGAGAUCUGCCUCGCUCUCAGUAGAUGGCUGCGGAGCGGUGCUGUGGUUCACACUGCAGGCAGGGAGGAAAAGGCAUCUGAAAAAUUCCCCUUGCAAUGGAUGAAUGAGGAAACGCAACAAGAUAUCAAGUGUCUGGUGCAUCACGCUGCAAAACACGAUGCCUGUGUUCUCCACUACUGCUCAACUGUCCCUUCACACUGCUUUUCAGGCCCAUUCCAAUUAAAUGUAUUCUGUACUUGCAGGCACAGCCCUGACCAACAGAUGGUGUCCAUCACAGACAAAAAAGAAAAGGAGGGAAAAGGCAAGAAGAGCCUGUCAGAAAAAUGGAAGGAGAAGCUGGAGCCAGUCCUGUUUUCUGCAGGUUUGCUAGUGAAACUGACUUUGACAGAAGGAGAUGGAAAACAAUUCAAAAGGACAAAGCCGCAAAUGAGGUAAUAGGAAAAUAAAAUGAUGAGAAGAGGAAAGAACCUCUGAAAG
rnacentral:lncRNA from 1 species